UACGGAGGGUGCAAGCGUUGUCCGGAUUUAUUGGGUUUAAAGGGUGCGUAGGCGGCCCGUUAAGUCAGUGGUGAAAGCCUCCAGCUCAACUGGAGAACUGCCAUUGAUACUGGCGGGCUUGAGUACAGACGAGGUAGGUGGAAUUGAUUGUGUAGCGGUGAAAUGCAUAGAUACAAUCAAGAACACCGCUUGCGUAGGCAGCUUACUAGGCUGUAACUGACGCUGAGGCACGAAAGCGUGGGGAGCGAACAGG
rnacentral:rRNA from 1 species